rnacentral:rRNA from 1 species
UACAGAGGGGGCAAGCGUUGUUCGGAAUUACUGGGCGUAAAGGGCGCGUAGGCGGCCUGUUAAGUCGAACGUGAAAUCCCUGGGCUCAACCCAGGAACUGCGUCCGAUACUGGCAGGCUUGAAUUCGGGAGAGGGAUGCGGAAUUCCAGGUGUAGCGGUGAAAUGCGUAGAUAUCUGGAGGAAUACCGGUGGCGAAGGCGGCAUCCUGGACCGACAUUGACGCUGAUGAGCGAAAGCUAGGGGAGCAAACGGG